UACGUAGGGUGCAAGCGUUAUCCGGAAUUAUUGGGCGUAAAGAGCUCGUAGGCGGUCUGUCGCGUCGGCUGUGAAAACUCGGGGCUCAACCCCGAGCCUGCAGUCGAUACGGGCAGACUAGAGUGCUGUAGGGGAGACUGGAAUUCCUGGUGUAGCGGUGAAAUGCGCAGAUAUCAGGAGGAACACCGGUGGCGAAGGCGGGUCUCUGGGCCUUACCUGACGCUGAGGAGCGAAAGCGUGGGUAGCGAACAGG
rnacentral:rRNA from 1 species